ensembl:rRNA 5S_rRNA 5S ribosomal RNA
AACAACAGCCAUAUCACCUUGCAGCUCAAGACCUGUUACUAACUGAAGCUAAGCAGGGCUGAGCCUGAUCAGUACUUGGAUGAGAGACCGCAUGGGAAAACUAGAUGCUGUAGAAA